AUUGAACGCUGGCGGCAUGCCUUACACAUGCAAGUCGAACGGUAACGGGCCUUCGGGUGCCGACGAGUGGCGAACGGGUGAGUAAUACAUCGGAACGUGCCCGAUCGUGGGGGAUGACGAGGCGAAAGCUUUGCUAAUACCGCAUACGAUCUGCGGAUGAAAGCAGGGGACCGCAAGGCCUUGCGCGGACGGAGCGGCCGAUGGCAGAUUAGGUAGUUGGUGGGAUAAAAGCUUACCAAGCCGACGAUCUGUAGCUGGUCUGAGAGGAUGAUCAGCCACACUGGGACUGAGACACGGCCCAGACUCCUACGGGAGGCAGCAGUGGGGAAUUUUGGACAAUGGGCGCAAGCCUGAUCCAGCCAUGCCGCGUGCAGGAUGAAGGCCUUCGGGUUGUAAACUGCUUUUGUACGGAACGAAAAGCCUUCUUUUAAUACAGGAGGGUCAUGACGGUACCGUAAGAAUAAGCACCGGCUAACUACGUG
rnacentral:rRNA from 1 species